GAUGAAGAACGUAGCGAAAUGCGAUACGUAGUGUGAAUUGCAGAAUUCAGUGAAUCAUCGAAUCUUUGAACGCACAUUGCACCUCUCGGUAUUCCGGGAGGUAUGCCUGUUCGAGCGUCAUUUGUACCCUCAAGCUCUGCUUGGUGUUGGGUGUUUGUUCCGCCUCUGUGUGUGAACUCGCCUCAAAACAAUUGGCAGCCGGCGUACUUGUUUCGGAGCGCAGCACAUUUUGCGAUCCAGAUCAACGUACAGCGGCAUCCAAGAAGCCUUAUUUAACGCUCUUGACCUCGGAUCAGGUAGGGAUACCCGAUGAACUUAAGCAUAUCAAUAAGCGGAGGA
rnacentral:misc_RNA from 1 species